rnacentral:snRNA from 1 species
GUGCUUCAGCAGCAUAUAUACCAAAAUUGGAAUGAUGCACAGAAGAUUAGAAUCCCUGUGCAAGGAUGAUACCCAAAUCCGUGAAAGCCUUCCAUAUUAAA